rnacentral:snRNA from 1 species
AUCCCAGUGCACGGGCAUUAAGCGUAACAGUGAGGCUUCGGCCGAGUUCGCUUUUUUGCUAGUUGAAAACUAUUUCGACCAACUCUUGCUGGCCUUCGGGUCGGCAAGGAAUUUUUGAAAGCUUGUUCUUUUUGUGACAAA